rnacentral:misc_RNA from 1 species
AACCUCAAUCCCCGACGGUUUUCUGAACUGUCGGUGGACUUGGAACUGGGCGUCUGCCUCCCAAGGCUCGCCUCAAAUGACUUAGUGGGAACUUCUUGACCUACGCCUGACGUGAUAAGUUUCGUCUCGGCUGGUCUUGAGGCCCGCUCACAACCACCCACAUCUUUUGA